rnacentral:rRNA from 1 species
ACCUCCUCACCAUUUGAGCAAUGGGGGGACGCAGGAGGAUAGGGUAAGCGCGGUAUUGGAUAUCCGCGUCCAAGCAGUUAGGCUGGGAAAUAGGCAAAUCCGUUUCCCGUGAAGGCUGAGCUGUGAUGGCGAGCGAAUUAUAGUAGCGAAGUUCCUGAUUCCACACUGCCAAGAAAAGCCUCUAGCGAGGGGAGAGGUGCCCGUACCGCAAACCGACACAGGUAGGCGAGGAGAGAAUCCUAAGGUGAUCGAGAGAACUCUCGUUAAGGAACUCGGCAAAAUGACCCCGUAACUUCGGGAGAAGGGGUGCUCUGUUA